rnacentral:lncRNA from 1 species
AUUUUCUAGAAGUUUCAAAUACUUAGAUCAUGUUUAACGGUGUGGAUCAAUCAUUUGAAAACUCUCAACAUCGAAAACAAACUUAUGAGUAGUAAGGUUCUAUACUCAUAAGAGUAUAGUAACCCACCCUCUCUCUCUCUCUCUCUCUCUCUCUCUCUCUAUAUAUAUAUAUAUAUAUAUAUAUAUACAGAGUUGAGCUCGAUAGCAAACGGGCUCCGUUGCCACCCAUUUGUUUUGGAUGAUGGAGCCUCCAAAUUGACGAUCGGUAUCGUUGAAAAUGAUCUAUACCACCUGACGUAUCUAGAAAUAAAAUUUCAUGUUUUUCCGAUAUUGUUCUUAAUUUCAUUCAUCAAGUGGGCGUAAAAAUAGACGGCUGAAAAUGAAUAUCCUCUUAAAAAUGAUGAUAGGAAUUUUGUAAUUAAUCAAGAUCGAGAGUGUAGAUCUUGUUCUAAAUAGUUUAAAAAAUUUUCUAACCAAAAUUCAAUUGAUUUGGAUAGCUUUACACCGUUAAACGAGAAAACACCUCAUAUCGAUCAUUAAAAUUACAAAUUUUGAAACCCUUUGAUCAUUAGGUCAAUGAUAUCGAAAAUAUUUGAAAUUUAAUUUCUAGGUACUUCAAGUGAUAUAGAUCAUGUUCAACGGUGCCGAUCGUUGAUUUGAGGGCUCCAUCAUCGAAAACAAAUGGGUGACAACAGAGCCCGUUUGCUACUGAUAGCAUUUCAGCUCAACUCUCUCUCUCUCUCUCUCUCUCUCUCUAUAUAUAUAUAUAUAUAUAUAUAUAUAUAUAUAUAUACUAUCAUAUCAAUACUCCGUAAAAAUUUAAUAAUUAUACAAAAGAUUUAUAUUAAUUAUGUUUUGUGCGAUCUCAGUAAAUUUGCAUAUUUAUUACUACUGUCUGCAUAAACUAAUCAAUAAUCUUAUGAGUACAAUAUUUUGAGAUCAGGUAUGUACAAUUGUAUGCAUUGAGAGAAACUUAUGCUUUGAGUUGACCAAGAGAACUUUUGAUAAAUCGCUAAUGUGCUGAUAAGCCAGUAUAACACGUGGGACAAGCGUGCAUGAAUCAAGCUCAAAAUUUUUUAUAUGAUUUAUGCCCACACAUUAAUAGUCUAAUCCUACAAUCAUACCAAAAAUACCUAAUUCAUUAGCCUCAUUUGAGAAUAUAUAUCUUCUAGAAUAGUAGAAGCACUUAGGGGCUGUUUGGUUGUGCGCAUUUGCAACUGCAGUACAGUUGCAAAUGCAUGCAGCCACAAUUCCUUUGUUUGGUUUAGUGUAGUUGAGUUCAAUUGCUGCAGUUCCAACUGCACAAGAAGGCCCAAAUACUGCAGUUGGAACUACAUCCAAAUUGGUCGUAGUUCCAACUGCAGCAGUUGGUGAGGGAUAGAAUCACCCACAAAUUAAUAAUAAUAAAUAAAUAAAUAAAUAAAUAAAUAAAUAGCUAAAUAAAUAAAUAAUAUAUGUAUAUAGGUAAAUAAAAAUACUUAUAAAUAAACUCAUACUAAUAAAAUUUUUUAGACAAUACAAGCUUUGUGCAAAAAAUUAAUUUUUUUAAAUUUAUUUUAUUUAAAAUAUAAAUAUAGUUUUUUUUUCUAAAUUUUUAUAGAAUGUGAUCGUGUAUGUUAAUUUAAUAAGUUUUAAUUAAUUAUAAUUAUUAAAUUUGAUUAAAAAAAAAGAAGAGAGAAUCGUUUAAAUUUUUAAAGUUUGAUUUACAUAUUAAAAUUAAAUAAAUUAAAAAUUUUAAAUGUGUCGAUUAAUAAGUUGAAGAAUUAUUGAAAAAUAUAAAAAUAUUAUAUAUAUCUACUUAUUUAUUUAUAAAUAGUAAAUUUAAAUAAUUAAUAAAUUUAUACAAUUAUUUUAUGUUUAGUGAAGGUAACCUCACCACUCUAUCUGAAGAGGUGACAAAAUUCAUAAAUACAACUAUCAGCUUCAUAUUACCAAACAGAAGAAAUGUAACUGCAGUAGUUGCAACUGCGUAAAACCAAACAGACUAGGUGUAGUUAUAACUGCAGUAUUUGCAACUGCAUGUAUUUCCAACUACACUGUUUCUGCAACUACAUCUAACCAAACGGCCCCUUAAUUUCCUUCUUUUUUUUUCGAGCAAUAGAUUGUGACACCUAGCUCGGAGGUUAAUGUAUCAAUCUCUUAAUAUUUUUGAUGAGAUAAAGUUAAAAGCUCAGCACUUAGCAAUUAGUUUAAUAAUUUAACAACAUUCGACCAAAACAUCUAUUUCGCACUACUACUUAAUUAGGAUAUAAAUAUUUUUUUGGUUAUUGAUCAUUCUUAGAACAAUUAGUUAAAUACUUGAUGAUUAGUAUACAAACUUUUAAAUUUGAAUUCUUAUUAUUUUACAUCCUUGCGAGGUAUCUGAAGUUUUUUUUUAAAAAAAAAACAAAAAAACUUAGGAGCUCGUGCUCUACUUCGGCGCGUUGGAUGGUGGACCAACGACAUCCGUUGAUUUCUCAUUUGACGGCGAUAGCGCGAAUCACGGGCAUCACCGUCCAACCGGUUGAUCUGACGGUCAACGUUGGUCCUUUGCUUUGAUAUACUAUGCAUUGAUGGGCAACGUGGACUCGAGAGGACCCUCGCAUAUACGAUGGCUUAUCCACCUAAUGAUGUGACCAAAACUAAGUUAUCAAUUCCAAUAUGAUGGUUUAUCUAUAAAAAAAAAACUUUUAUUAAAAAAUAUGCAUAAUCGAACCUAUUUAGGAAUAUUCUCAUGGUAGAGAUAGAAUUUGCUACGGGUCAGGUCGGGUCGGGUCGGGUCAGAUUCAACUAAAUAUACUGAUCCAUUAAAACCAACCUAACUCAACUCAUGAUUGAUCAGAUAAUUUGUCCAACUAACCUAUCAAUCUGAUUCGAUCCAAUUCAAUCCACAAAUCUUACUCAACCAAACCUGUCGAUCAGCCAACUCUACCCAACCCAACUGAUGAUCAAACCUUCAACCGUGUUAAAUAAAGCAUUACUAUUUGUACACCUAUUUUAUAAGUGUAAAAUUUAUAUCCUGACAUUUGAAAGAUUGUGAUGUACUCAUUUGACACAUCACAUUUUUUGUAAUGCUGAAAAAUUUUAAAAAGUUUAUAAGCUUUUGGAUGCAAUGGGUGUAAGAUAUACACUCCCAUAUGGGUUGUAAAAAUAAAUAUUUUCUAUUGAAUAAUAUGACAUAAUUGUUAAAAAAUAAUAUUUACAAAAAUAAUAAUAAUAUUCUAUUGUUAAUUGACCCAUCUCUAUUAGAUUACAUGACAAAAAGAGAGUAAGAACACACAUAUUAUGAGCAAUUAGUGUGUUUUAUUACAUAAAAAUAAACUAAUACGCCUUAUUAAAGAUAAAAAAGGCAUAUACAUAGAUAUAUUCCAUACGCCCUAUGUUUAUGUAGGAUUAUAUGUCUUGGUGCAUGUAAUCGAAAAAAUACACUGUUUUCCUUUUGCAAACUUUUAUUUUAAUGUAAUCAAAAAAUCGCAUAAUUUAUUUUCUAGGUACUUCAAAUACUCUAGAUCAAGUUUAACGGAGCCGAUCGACGAUUCGAAAGUCGCAACAUCGAAAACGAGCUGGAAGCACGAAAGGCUCCGUGCUUCCGAUAGCAUAGUAGCCUUACUCUCUGCUCUCUCUCUCUUUCAUAUAUAUAUAUAUUUAUUAUAUAUAUUAUAUAUAUAUAUAGUCCGGCUGGGUACUACUCAUAGACCAUGCAUUUUGGUGCUAUCUAAGCUUAUUCUAAAUCUCGACGAUCGCUCGGGUGCAGACUUCUUACACUGGAUUUGGUAAGUAUUUGAAACUGAAUAUUAUAAUUUCGACAUCAUGAUAGGCUAGUUGAUCAGAGGGAGAGUGGGGGGGUCUCAAAGUGAUAAUUUUGUAAGUUUAGUAGAUGUGAUGAUUGUUGGUAACGCCUGGUGUAAAACAAUCCAAUAAGAUGAAAAUUUUUAUAGGAAAUAUUUUUUACUAUUUAGAGUAAGAUCAGUACCUAUGAUCUUAAAUUCAAUUAUUUUAUGAGACUUUAUAUUUUUAGUCGUUCAUUUUUAGACUACUGUUUGAUAGGUAAAUGAUACCAAUACAAAUUAUGAAUUUUAGUUUCCAAAUACUCUUCAUAGUGUAGAUCAAGUCUACGGCCGAUGUCGAUUUGAUAAGCUGGUGUGGUGUUGGCUGGGUAUGCCAUAGUGUAGAAUUGGGGUGGUAGCACGGAGGUGGUGUGUUGGUGCACGAUAGUAUACCAGCCGUGCUUGUAUAUAUAUAUAUAUAGAGGAGAGAAGAGAGAGAGAGCAGGGCUACAUUGCUAUUUGGAGUACAGCAACCCUUGUGCUCCUAACUUUCUAACCACCCAUCAAUGUUUUGAUUGGGUGCUGUUAGAAUGAUAGAGAAGAGAUAUUGGGAGAAAUUCAGAAGACGAAAUUGAGACACCCAAUUCUUCCCAAUAUCUCUUUCCUCUCUUAUUUCUAAACCAUCCAUCAAUCUUGAUGAGUGUUAGAAAGGUUAGGAGCACAAGGACUGUCCGUUGCUCCUUAAUAGCCACAUAGCCCGUUCUAUAUACUAUAUAUAUAUAUAUAUAUAAUAUAUAUAUUAUAGGGCUACUUAGUACUUAUAGUACUGAAUUUUUGUUACUAUUAGUCUCGUGUUUCAAUCUUAAGGUAUUCAAAUGAACGAUUCACACAGUUAAAUAUGAAGUUUUCAAUUUUUUCGAUAUUAUUUACUUUAUAAAUAAAUUGUGUCCAAAUGAAUGGUAAAACUUGAACAAUCUUUAAAAUUUGAAGAUAGAACUUUUGAAUUUCAAGAUCAAGAAUGUUGAUUUUGAUCUAGAUAGUUUAAAAUAUUUUUUAUCAAAAUUUGAAUAAACUUAAAUUUUACUACACCAUUAAACUACAAACUCGUUAUAGUAGUCAUUAAAAAUUAACAAUUUUAAAAUGAUUUGAUCAUAAAAUAAACUAUGUUGAAAAAAUAUAAAGGCAUAUUCAUAAAAACUUUAAAUAUCCUACAUCAGUUUUAACGAUGUGGAUUAUUGAUUUGAACACCCUAAAAUCGUUGAUUUGAACACUUAAUCCUAGAGAACCACUAUCAUCCUAAUAAUCGUACAAAUUUUCAUCCAAAGACCGAAAAACUAAUGACUUGAUACUUUUAAAAAAUAUAAACUAAUGACUUGAUACUUUUAAAAAAUAUAGGAACUCAAUUCCAUAUAUAUAGAGAGAGAGAGAGAGAGUCCAGCUAUGGUGUUUAUAAAAGCACCAAGCACUUGGUGCUUGUAAGUUUUUUACCAUUAGAUUUACUCAACGGAUCAUUUUCAACCAUUAGAUUAUACUAUUCAACCAACCACACACUCAACCCUAGGGAGCCCACAUCAUCCUAACCGCAUAUCUCUUAAUCCAAUGGCUAAAAUUUUACAAGCACCAAGGUCUUGAUACUUUUAAAAGUAUAGGAGCUCAAUUCUAUUAUAGAGUCCAGCUAUGGUGCUUGUAAAAGCACCAAGCACUUGGUGCUUGUAAGUUUUUUACCAAUAGAUUUACUCCACGGAUCAUUUUCAACCAUUAGAUUAUACUAUUCAACCAACCACUCACUCAACCCUAGGGAGCCAACAUCAUCCUAACCGCAUAUCUCUUAAUCCAAUGGCUAAAAAUUUACAAGCAUCAUGCUAACCGCAUAUAGAGUCCGGCUAUGGUGCUUGUAAAUAUUUUACCGUUAGAUCUAUGUCUUUAAUCAUUUUCACCCGUUAGAUUAUACUAUUCAACCAACCACCAACUCAACUCUAGGGGGCCCACAUCGUCCUAACCGCACAUUCCUUAAUCCAAUGGCCGAAAACUUACAAGCACCAAUGACUUGGUACUUUUAAAAGUAUAAGAGCUCAAUUCUCUCUCUCUCUCUCUCUCUCUCUCUCUCUCUCUCUCUCUCUAUAUAUAUAUAUAUAUAUAUAUUAUAUAUAUAUGAUUGAGCUUAGUAAUACUCUCGAUAGUAAACGGGCAUUUUACUAUCGAGUUGUUUUCGGAUGAUAGAGCUUCCAAAUUGACGAUCGGCUCAGUUGAAACAUGAUCUAUACCACUUAAAGUGUUUAGAAAUCAAAUUUUAAAUCUUUUCGACAUCAUUUGCCUAAUGAUCAAAAGGUUUCAAAAUUUAUAAUUUUAAUGGUGGAUUAAGAAACGUUUUCUCGUUUUACGGUGUAAAGAUAUUCAAAUCAAUUAAAUUUUUUGUUAGAAAAUUCUUUAAACUAUUUAAAACAAGAUCUAUACUCUUGAUCUUGAUACAGACUCCUAUCAUCAUUUUUUAAAGAAUAUUCAUUUUCAACCAUUCAUUUUCUGUUUCACUAGAUGGAUAAAAGAACAAUAUCGAAAGUGCCGUGAAAUUUGAUUUCUAGGUAGUUUAAAUGGUUUAGAUCAUAUUUAACGGAGCCGAUCGUCAAUUUGGAAGCUUAUCAUCGAAAACAAACUCGAUAGUAAAACGCUCCGUUUACUAUCAGAGAGUAUUCUAGCUCAACUCUAUAUAUAUUAUAUAUAUAGAAUUAUGCUACUAUACUAUCAAUAGUACCAAGCCCAUGGUACUAUUGAGUUUUCGGCCGUUGGAUGAAAGGAUGUACGCGUUAGGAUGAUAGUGGUCCUGGUUAAAUUGAUAGUGGUCCCCUAGGGUUGAGUUGAGUGGUGUUAUAGUAGUAAUCUAACGAGUGGAAAUGAUCAAAUGGUUGAUCUAACGGUAGAAAACUCAAUAGUACCAAGGAUUGGUACUAUCAAUAGUAUAGUAGCUGGACUCUUAUAUAUAUAAUAUAUAUAUAUAUAGGGUCUGGCUCCUAUACUAUUAAUGAGACGAUCGCCCUCGUACUCAUAAGUUGUUUUUCGAUGAUAGAGCUUUCGAAUCGACGAUCCACACCGUUUAACGUUAUUUACAGCAUUUAAAACUUCUAGAAAUCAAAUUUUUAAUUUUUCGACAUCAUUUACCUUACGAUCAAGAGGUCACAAAUUUGACAAUUUUUAACGGCGGUAUGGGAUACUUGCUAGUUUAACGGUGUAAAAGAAUUGGAAUGUGUGAAGUUUUGAUAGAAAAUUCUAUUCACUAUAUAGAUAAAGAUCAAUAACUCCGAUCUUGAAUGAAUGAUCCGAUCAUCCUUUUUUAGGACGUCGUUCGAUAUUGACCGUUCAUUUAUGCCCACUUGAAUGGACUUUAUUAUAUUUCGAAAAUUUACGAACUUUAUUUCUAGACAGUUUUCAAAUACUCUAAAUCAUAUUUAACGGAGUGGAUUGUCGAUUCGAAAGCUCCAUCAUUGAAAACAACUUAUGAGUACGAGGGCUCCAAUACUCAUAAUGGUACAGUAGCCAUGUCCUAUAUAGGGUUCGGCUACUAUACUAUUAUGAGUACGAUCGCCCUCGUACUCAUACGUUGUUUUCGAUGAUAGAGCUUCCAAAUCGACGAUCCACACCGUUAAACAUUAUUUACAGCAUUUAAAACUUCUAGAAAUCAAAUUUAGUGAGGGAGCUAGUAUGCUUCUGGAAAUAUGAAGCCCUCCGUACUUCUGAAUCGUUUUCGAUGUUGGAAUUUUCGAAUCAACGAUCAGCUCCAUAAUACUUGAUUUAGAGUAUUUGAAGUACGUAGAAAAUAAAUUUAGUGAUUUUUUUGAUAUUAUUUACCUAGUGAUCGAAAGGGCUGAAAAUUACAAAUUUUAAUGACCAUGGUGAGCCAAUUUAUUUUUUUUAAAAAAAGGUAAUAUAUUGUAUCUUGUGCAGCUAGUUAAAAGCUUGAAUGUUGAUAUUUGAGACUUGAGAUUUCAAGUUCC